rnacentral:rRNA from 1 species
AAAGACUUGACGGUACUUCACAACACCCUAGAGGAGCCUGUCUAAUAACCGAUACUCCACGAUUAGACCCCGCCUGCCCUAGCCACACAGUCUAUAUACCGCCGUCGCCAGCUUACCUUGUGAAAGAGAUAAAGUGAGCAAAAUAAACUAUUUUCUAACACGACAGGUCGAGGUGUAACUAAUGAGCAGGCAAAAGAUGGGCUACAUUAUCUAACACAGAUAAUACGAAUCAAACCAUGAAACAUAAGCUGAAGGCGGAUUUAGCAGUAGAUAAAAAUAAAACGCUUA